GUGAAUCAUCGAAUCUUUGAACGCACAUUGCGCCCGCCAGUAUUCUGGCGGGCAUGCCUGUUCGAGCGUCAUUUCAACCCUCAAGACCCCUGUGGACUUGGUGUUGGGGACCGGCGGCGCCUCUCUGGUGUCACCGCCCCCUAAAUGAAUUGGCGGCCUCGUCGCGGCCCUCCUCUGCGUAGUAGCACACACCUCGCAACAGGAGCCCGACGGCGGCCACUGCCGUAAAACGCCCAAACUUUUUUAGAGUUGACCUCGAAUCAGGUAGGAAUACCCGCUGAACUUAAGCAUAUCAAUAAGCGGAGGA
rnacentral:misc_RNA from 1 species